rnacentral:rRNA from 1 species
AUGCCCUCCGUCGUCACCCCUUAGAACCUGUUACCCGCGUUCGGACUAGGUCGGUACGGCGCACUCACUACUUCCGGGAUCCCAACAUUUCGAGAAAGUGGCCACUUCUAUUACUGCCAUCGGCCUCUUCUUCGGGGCCGAUUGAGGCACGGUCGUCGGCGCCAUUAUGCCUCCCCCGAUCGCAACAAGCCUUAAUGACCCGCAUUUCGCGUGCAUCCGCCCAUAGGUUCAACCCCCACUUUAGGGCCCCGAGUUGGGGCCUUGACGGAGGUUUUGACCCAUGGAUCUCAGGCUCUCUCCACUCACCUUAAGGGUCACAUCUCCACUUUAAGCAUCUAUAACCCUUCUUGUGGUCACCGCUUCCGCCGAGUGACCGAGCCAUGACUGCGACUCCACGCUGUCGCACCCCUCGUUUGUCCUAAUCUAUGGGACCAUCAGGUGCGGCAUUUGCUACUCUCGAUCAACAGCCCGUCGUACGACAAGCCACUGCGUCGAUUGCGUAAUUCGAGAGGCGGACCCCUCAUGCCAGCG